rnacentral:rRNA from 1 species
AUGCAUCACAGGUUUGUAUCUAGGAACAUAAACGCGGGAGAAGACGGAGCAACGGCACCGUCGGCCUGCCGGGGCCGGGACGCGACGGGGAGGAGGGGAUCAGUCGUCGCGCUUCUUGAGCUUGUCGACGCGCUGCUGGAGGUGGUCGAGCUUGACGACGAGGGAGGUGACGGAGAAGAGGAUCCAGUAGAGGAGCAGCGCGGCGGCGAUGAGGAGGGCGUUGCGCUGGGACUUCAUGAUGGACUUCUGGUGGCGGAGGUGCUCGGAGGGGGUGCAGGCGUGCUCGUCGUCGCAGGUGGGCCGCAUCUCGUACUUCCAGUAGAUGUCCAUGAGCAGGAAGAGGCAGAAGGGCACCACCGACAUCAUGGGCUUGAGCGCGCUCCGCACCACGGAGAUCAUCCCGCGCCGGAGCGCGUCGAGGCCCGGGAGGGUCAGCAGCAGCAGCAUGAUGGCCUCCGCGCCCGCCGCGUACCCCAGCACCACCCACUCCAGCGCCAUCGCGGCCGGAUCUCGCGCCUUCCGAUUCGCCGGAGAUCGCUUUGCUUGGGAGAGGGGAUGGGGAAAACUCUGGUGGGCGUGCGUGCGUGUGCGCCGGGGGAUUUCGGCUUUAGCGAGGGGAGCGGGGAGGGGGUCGAUCUGGGGGGGGGCUUUUGGGUGGAAUGGGUCUAUGGCAGUGCGGGUUGGGGAGGAGGUUGGGUUGGAGCGGCUCUUGUAGACGCGGUGCAGGCGGGCGCCUCAGAUUUAGACGGACGACACGUUCGAGGGGCUCGAUGGCUGAGUCAGUACGGGGCUGGUGGAGACGAGAACCUUCGUGCCGACCACGGAAAUCGCCGUGGACGGCUCUGA